rnacentral:RNase_P_RNA from 1 species
UCGGUCUGUCGCUGAUACCUGAUGGUAUGAGAGGAAAGUCCGGGCAACACAGAGCGUCCUACUUCCUAACAGAAAGCUAUCUGCGAAGGUAGAGUAAUGUAGAAGAAAAUAACCGCCACAGACUCGUUUGUGGUAAGGGUGAGAAGGCGGGGUAAGAGCCCACCGGUUGCAUAGCGAUAUGCAAGCCGUACAUCUUAGGAGUUGUAAGGUCAUGUAUACCGACAUUAUCAGGGCUGCUCGCCCGACGUCGGAGGGUAGACCGCUAGAGUUCAUCGGAGACGGUGAGAGUAGAUAAAUGACAGGCACUUUUUUAUUAAAGUACAGAACCCGGCUUACAGAUUAUCUGU